CUGCAGUGCUCAGGUAACCCCUCAGUGAGCUCAGGUAACCCCUGUAACCCCUCAGUGAGCUCAGGUAACCCCUGUAACCCCUCACUGUGCUCAGGUAACCCCUGUAACCCCUCAGUGUGCUCAGGUAACCCCUGUAACCCCUCAGUGAGCUCAGGUAACCCCUGUAACCCCUCAGUGUGCUCAGGUAACCCCUGUAACCCCUCAGUGAGCUCAGGUAACCCCUGUAACCCCUCAGUGAGCUCAGGUAACCCCUGUAACCCCUCACUGUGCUCAGGUAACCCCUGUAACCCCUCACUGUGCUCAGGUAACCCCUGUAACCCCUCACUGUGCUCAGGUAACCCCUGUAACCCCUCAGUGUGCUCAGGUAACCCCUGUAACCCCUCAGUGAGCUCAGGUAACCCCUGUAACCCCUCAGUGAGCUCAGGUAACCCCUGUAACCCCUCAGUGUGCUCAGGUAACCCCUGUAACCCCUCAGUGAGCUCAGGUAACCCCUGUAACCCCUCAGUGAGCUCAGGUAACCCCUGUAACCCCUCACCGUGCUCAGGUAACCCCAGCAGGGCAGGGCUGGGCUCGGGGAGCAGGGAGGAGCUUGGCAGUGAUGGAUUCAUGCUGAAGAGGUGGAAGGGAAGGGGUGUGAUAGCCACAAGGAGAUUCCAGUGUCAUUUGAGGCCAGGCUGGAAAGUCAGGGGCUGGUGGGGAGCUCCACAGCUGGGCUGAGCUGCUGGAGCAGCGUGGGGAGCUGCUGAGGGGAGCAGCAGCAGCAGCAGCAGCGACUCCAGACCCAGAGGGAAUGCUUGGGUUUGUCCAUCCUGGUGCUGCUGUCACAGAGCAGGUGCUGUGGAGGCAGUAGUCCCUUCAGGUGACUUCCACAGGCACAGGGAUGAGCCUGUGAGCAUUUCUGGGGUGCACAAAGCAAUGUGUCCUUUCCCAGCAGGAUCUUUUUCUUCUUGCUAGAAGCACUGUUCUCCUGGCCAGAUUCUAGGUGUAAAUGAGGUAUAAAUUUAGAAGAAUAGUAUUUAUUAUCUGUAGGAAGACAGGAAUGAAAGAGACUUCCUGAGGUAUUUCAUCCCUACCACAAGCAAUGUAUCUUAAAAUCCCUAGAUCUUUAAUACAUAGCAAUCCUUAGAUUUUUAUCAAGC